rfam:Triticum aestivum genome assembly, contig: Triticum_aestivum_CS42_TGACv1_scaffold_129388_2BL
UUAGUACUCCCUCCGUCCGGAAAUACUUGUCAUCAAAAUGAAUAAAAAGGGAUGCAUCUAGAUGUAUUUUAGUUCUAGAUACACCCAAUUUUGUCCAUUUUGAUGACAAGUAUUUUAGGACGGAGGGAGUAUCAG